UGCUAGCAUAUAUAAGACUGGAACACCAAAGGCCUCCGUGGAAGUUAAUGAACUUCUGGCAGCUGUGGUAGACCCCAAAUGCACAGGGCAUAUCGCUCACCUCACCACCCCAGAUGGUGCUACUGGCCCAGCCUUCCGAGCGUCCACCCUGGCAGUCUUUCCUCAUUCCCUUGGCCCUCACCCCGUCUCCUCAGCCUUCCAGCUGCACUGCUAUUGUAAGCUGCUCUUUCUCGACAAUCUCCUCUUAUUUUCUGUGAUGUCUCAGGAUGUUUCUUCUUCUCAAAGCUUCUCCAAGCUUCUUCCACACUCAGGUGCUCAGACCUUUUUAUGGUCUGGCUUCUGAAGGAGAUAAAAAUUCAUAUGGACAGGCAUUUGUGUGUUAGCCAAGAGUUGCUAAUGCAUUUCUUGAUUAUAAGUCUCAGAGAAAUGGGAUGAAAGAUCUUAGAUUUUUAUACACUCUGGUUCAAUGGUUUCUCAGCUUUUCUGAUCUGAAAAGAAUAAAGGACACCUUUUAGCUAAGCACUUUCUGUUUUAUUUCUUAUAAUGCCAUGUAGUGGCUGUUAUUGGCAACACAGCAGUCAUUUAAUAAACCCUGAAUGUCUGUAGCAUUUCUUCUCAUUCAUUUCAAUGAGUGCUGUUCUUUUCUGUGUUUAUUUUUUAUUUUU
rnacentral:lncRNA from 1 species